AUUGCUCAUUUUCAUGCACACCCCUCGUGUAUUCCUCCUACGCCACUCUGCCGUCGAAACUAAAGUCUUGGGUCAGAUUUAUUUUCCUAUUUAUUCUGCUCCUAAACCUGCAGUGAAGUUAGCGAAGCUGCUACAGGAAUGCGGAUUCUAAUGUCCAUCGUUGUCGUCAUCCUAUCAAGUAUUGCCCACCAUCUAAGAAGUGGGAAUGCUCAAGAAUGCAACGUGGACCUUCACAUCGAUGACGUACGAAACGUCAUGAUUCCGUGCAACCAGACCUGCGAAGAGAAAGGACAUUUGCCAAAUGGAACGGUUUGUUUUAUUAUUUGUCAAAGCUGGGGCAGCCAAGCAAGGGAAGUGCCGGCGGAAACAUGUGAACUCUGUGGGACAUGCAGCAAUGGCAUAUGUCUGAAGCAAAAGUGGUGCGAAAGCUACGGACGCUGAUGCAGCAUCAUGGCGUUACUUCCUGUGGUCCGGAGGGUGCCUCGUUCCCACGGCGCACAUGUGUUGCGGUAAUGGGGUUGUAGGUGUCACCUUUCCAAUAAAUGUGACCAUGUUUA